UACGGAGGGGGCUAGCGUUGUUCGGAAUUACUGGGCGUAAAGGGCGCGUAGGCGGGAUGGCAAGUCGGUCGGUGAAAGCCUUCGGCUCAACCGAAGAACGUCGGCCGAUACUGCCGUUCUUGAGGGAUGCAGAGGAGACUGGAAUUCCCGGUGUAGCGGUGAAAUGUGUAGAGAUCGGGAGGAACACCGGUGGCGAAGGCGGGUCUCUGGGCAUCUCCUGACGCUGAGGCGGCGAAAGCGUGGGGAGCAAACGGG
rnacentral:rRNA from 1 species